rnacentral:rRNA from 1 species
CGCCGAAAGCGAGCUCCGUGACUGGGACUAAGUCGUAACAAGGUAGCCGUAGGGGAACCUGCGGCUGGAUCACCUCCUUU